UACGGGCGUGAUGAUCGCAUUUUUGUCAAUCAAACAGUUAUCCCUGACGGAACUAUUAUUUGUCGAUAUGAUGGACUCUGACCCUAUG
rnacentral:snoRNA from 1 species